UCUCGGCAAAUUAUCCUCAUAAGUUUGACAAUAAGAGAAACCAUAUAAAAUUUAAAUAAAGUUAAUUAAAUUAAUAAUAUGGAAUAAUAAAAUCGGAGGCCACGACUGUUUACUAAAAACACAAUUCAGAGCAAUGAUUAAGAUAAUAGUAUUCUGGAUGAAAUUUGCUCAAUGCCAUUAAUAUAAGAGAGGUAAUUUUAAAGUUACUAAUCGAAAAUCUGGUUAAUAGCGGUCUUAACUAUGAGGAUCCUAAGGUAGCAAAAUAAAUUGGCCAUUAAAUGUGGUCUUGUAUCAAUAAUGUAACGAUGGUCUCACUGUCUCUACAACUUGCUCAGUGAAAUUGAAUUGCGAGUGCAGAUGCUCGC
rnacentral:rRNA from 1 species